rnacentral:rRNA from 1 species
UACAGAGGUCUCGAGCGUUAGGCGGAAUCACUGGGCUUAAAGCGUGUGUAGGUGGAUGCCUAAGUACCUUGUGAAAUCCCACGGCUUAACCGUGGAACUGCUUGGUAUACUGGGUGUCUUGAGCCAGCUAGGGGCUACCGGAACAAAUGGUGGAGCGGUGAAAUGCGUAGAUAUCGUUUGGAACGCCAAUGGUGAAAACAGGUCGCUGGGGUUGUGCUGACGCUGAGACACGAAAGCCAGGGGAGCGAACGGG